GGUGAGAUACCCAAGUGGCCAAAGGGAACAGACUGUAAAUCUGUCGGUGUAUGCCUUCGAAGGUUCGAAUCCUUCUCUCACCACCA
rnacentral:tRNA from 1 species